AUUCCAUGAUCAGGGAACUUUCGUAAAAACUCUUUGUACCUUUCCCAUGCCUCAUACAGGGACUCAUCACCCAUUUGUUGGAAGGUUGUGAUCUCAUUCCUGAACUU
rfam:Gossypium hirsutum cultivar TM-1 chromosome 14, whole genome shotgun sequence